rnacentral:tRNA from 1 species
GCCCCAGUAGCCCAAUUGGCAGAGGCAGCGGACUUAAAAUCCGCGUGUUGCGAGUUCGAGUCUCGCCUGGGGCACAA